AACUUGACGAUCUGCAAGGUGUUAGAC
rnacentral:sRNA from 1 species